ACUGUUUCCAAUGCGCUAUCCAUCUGUCUUGGAGCGGUGCUAAAACAACCUGGAACUAACAGCUAACGGCAGCCUGAAUACAGCCAGGGUAACCUAUACCAUGCAGCCUAGAGAGGAGGACAAGCCUGGAGUAGUGAUUUUUGAACCAUUUCUAAUUUGACGGAGUAUUUUUUACUAUUCUUCGUUCUCGUCUAUAAAAUAAAUGGACAUUACCGCAAUUGUAUCAAUUUGACAUACCUCCAUACAUUCACUCGCCCGCGCACACGCCAUACAAUUGCAGUCAGACGGGCUCAGGUUAGGAGAUUCAGAAACGCUCAAGGAUAUUAUCCCCAAAAACUUUCAAUCAUGGAUUUAUUUUUUAUUCCACCACGAAUUUGCUGGUGGAGGGUAUUGUUUCUUUUGAGCAUCUUUCAGGACUACUUGAGCAAUAUGCUGGACUGCCCGCCAACCUGCAGCUGCUCUCCAACUGAGAUCUAUUGCAAUAAGUCUGAUAAUGGGAAAUUCUUUCCUCUGCUUGCACUGCAAGAUACUGGGAACAAUGGAAAUAACAGCAUCGAAGAUCUGUUCAAGAACAUCACCUCAAUACAUAUCGAGAACUGGACUGGCCUGCAGACCCUGAAGGAUGUGGACAUGGAGCUGUACACUGGACUUCAGAGACUAACGAUCAUGAACGGCAACCUGCGCGGAAUCCAGGCCAGAGCUUUCUCACAGAACCCCCACCUGCGCUACAUAAACCUAUCGAAGAAUCCUCUGACCACGUUAUCAUGGCAACUCUUCCAGAAUCUUCAACUCUUCGAGCUGAGGCUGGAAGAAGUGGUGUUUGAGUGUGGCUGUGAUAUCCGCUGGAUUCAGCUGUGGCAGCAGCGAGGGGAUGCUGGCCUGCACACCCAGCUGUUAUUCUGCAACAACGGAGCCUCCAAGAUCCCUCUGCAGGCUAUGAAUAUCUCCCUCUGUGACUUGCCGGACAUCAGUGUGACCCACUAUAAUCUCACAGUGAUUGAGGGGGACAGAGUCACCGUCACCUGUAAUGGAUCUGGAUCCCCCCUCCCUGAGGUGGACUGGACCGUCAAUGACCUCCACUCCAUCAACACUCACCAGUCCAAUGUGUACUGGCCCAAUGUCCACUCCAUCAACCUGACCCUGGUCAACGUGAGCCGUGAUGACAACUUCUACAUGCUGACCUGUAUAGCAGAGAACAAAGUGGGGAUGGCCAACGCCUCCAUUCAGCUCACUGUCCAUUUCCCCCCCACCAUCCUGAAGCUAGACGAGCCCGAGCGUCGCCAUGAAACCUGCAUAGAGUUCACGGUGCGCGGCAACCCCCAGCCCACCCUGCGCUGGUUCCACCGGGACAAGGAGAUCCCCCCCAGUGACUACAUCCGCACUGAGAUGGAUACCUACCAGGACUACCUAGAGGGAUGCCUCAACUUCAAGGACCCCACACACCACAACAACGGCAACUACACCCUGGAGGCUAGCAACUUCCUAGGAGUCACCACCAAGACAGUGUAUGGACACUUCCUCAACGCCCCGUUUUCAGACGAUUAUGGUGAUUAUGGGACUCCAACACCGACCAUCACAGUAACACACAGGCCUGAAGAGGACACAUUCGGGGUGUCUAUUGCUGUGGGCCUUGCUGGAUUUGCCUGUGUCCUUCUUGUUGUCCUGUUUGUUCUCAUCAACAAAUAUGGCCGACGUUCGAAGUUUGGAAUGAAAGGACCAGUAGCAGUGAUCAGUGGUGAGGAGGACUCGGCCAGCCCCCUGCACCAUGUCAACCAUGGCAUCAUCACCCCCUGUACCCUUGACGCUGGACCAGACGCUGUGGUCAUCGGGAUGACCCGUAUCCCUGUCAUUGAGAACCCGCAGUACUUCAGACACGGACACAACUGUAACAAGCCUGCUACCUACGUACAGCACAUAAAGCGUCGGGACAUCAUUCUGAAGCGGGAGCUGGGAGAGGGGGCCUUUGGGAAGGUGUUUCUGGCAGAGUGCUAUAACCUCAGCCCUACCAAGGACAAGAUGCUGGUGGCUGUCAAGACCCUGAAGGACCCCACCCUUGUAUUUUCUCAGACGCUGAAGGACCCCACCCUUGUAUUUUCUCAGACGCUGAAGGACCCCACCCUUGCAGCGAGAAAAGAUUUCCAGAGGGAGGCAGAACUAUUGACCAACCUGCAGCAUGAGCACAUUGUCAAGUUCUAUGGUGUGUGUGUGGAUGGAGACCCCCUCAUCAUGGUCUUUGAGUACAUGAAGCACGGGGACCUCAACAAGUUUCUCAGAGCCCAUGGGCCCGACGCUAUGAUCCUGGUUGACGGACAGCCGCUGCAGACCAAUGGGGAGCUAGGCCUUUCUCAGAUGCUGCACAUUGCCACUCAGAUCGCCGCAGGGAUGAUGUACCUGGCCUCCCAGCACUUUGUGCACCGUGAUUUAGCCACUCGGAACUGCCUGGUGGGCAACGGCCUGCUGGUGAAGAUUGGUGACUUUGGAAUGUCCAGGGACAUCUACAGCACAGACUACUACAGGGUAAGCACCUUUGUAUGUUUUAUAGAUAACAAAUGAUUUCAUGUAGUAAAUGUAUUUGCUUGUUUGUUAUAUCAAGCUAUACUGUACAUUCAUAAUCGACUCAAUGAUGUAUUUUUGGUCACCGUACAGUGUUUUUAGAGAACAGGUGGUGUUUUGACACAGUGGCUGUGGACGGUGGCCCUGCAUUCACCUGCCUCAUGAUGAUGUGUUUGUUGACCUUUACUGAUACCUGCCCUGCCCUGAACUCUUUACCUUUACUAAUGCACAAAUGUACAAGGAGAAGUGAUGCAUGCUCAAUAUGUCUAUUUGUGAAGAUGUGCCACGUCUAGGGCAGAACCACUCUCGCUGUAUUUUGUUUGUAGCAGAAGAUUAUUUCUUUGACUUCUUCCCGGUGACCAGAAUAUAGAGCUCGUAGCCGAGAUGAGAAUGGAGUUGCUGAAGCUGUGCUGGCAUUACAAAGGGAUUAUUACUGUGGCACAGGGGAUUUUCACUAGAUACAGACUGUAAUUGCCAUUGUGAAAAAGAAGUUACAUUUGCAGUAAAUGUCAAAUAGUCCAUUGAGUCUCAUCCUACUUAAUGUGUUCUGCAGGCUACUUUUCCUUAAUGGUACCUUCGCAAUAAGCAGCUCAGUAAAAUGGGUGGCAGGUAGCUUACUGGUUAGAGCGUUGGGACCAGUAACUGAAAUGUCGCUAGUUGGAAUCCCCGAGCCGACAAGGUGAAAAAUCUGUGGCUGUGCCCUUGAGCAAGGCACUUAACUCUAAUUGCUUUCCGUGACCCCACUCUCAGAGGGUGUAUCAGGUGAAGUUGGGACAUACAAAAAUACACAUUUAUAUUUCACACAGAAAUUCGUUUUUUGCACGUCCCAUCUCCCCCUGAGACACCCUCAGAGAGUGGGGUCAUGUGGCUUUUCUCCUUUUAGAUACUAAGGUAAGGUAUAGAAAGAAAAGCCAGUGUGAGACUGAUUCACCACCAGACUACUACCAGGAUUGCUGGACUGCCCCCUGUUGGUCUAGCAGCAUCUUUGGGACUUUGCCAUUUUGGACCUGGGCAUCUCUGCCAGACCAGGCCUGCUGUAUGGUCCACUGACAGAGCUGAGAGAUUAGGAGGUCGUAACUGCAUUGGACACAUUCCCUGUUGUUGAGUGAUUAUAAAUUGGGGCGGCUGCCAAGAACAUAUCUCCCUGACACUGCUGACAUAUUGACGUCCGCUCCUCUCCUUCAGGAAAAGCAAGAAAACUGCCCUCAAGGGAUAUGACACAGUAAGCAAGAGCACAGUCUGAGCUGGGUUUUUUCACAGGCAGCAUAUCUGACAGCCCCAUCUGUAUAAUGAAAAUGAUGCCCGGGCUCCCCCAAACCAAAUUAGCUGUUGGUUCUCAGUCUGCAGGCAGGCACACAGAUCUGACAUGGCACUGUGUUUGUGAGCUGAGAAGUAUGACAUGGCUUCAUAGACCCUGUUGGAAACGAUACAACAAAUAGCAAGGCUAUGUGAAUCUGAAAGGCAACGGGAAGUCAGGCAACCUUGACAUGCACAUGAAUGUACAUUGAGCAUGGGUCAUGCAGCAGUUUGAGAGGCAGCGGACAAUGAUAGCAUGAUAUUACGUCAUAGAGGAAUGCAUUUUCAUUCAGAUCACUGUUUAACUAACUAUGCUGGGUGUAUAAUUCCUUUACACUUCCUCAACAGCCACUGUUGGUCAGCUGCAAUGUUAAUCCAACAAUCCAAUGCCAUUGUUCCAAAUGAGGAAAGCUUCAUUAUUAUGAUUCAUCUGCUCUUUAGAACGUAACGACAUACAGUCAGGUCCAUAAUUAUUGGCACCCUUGAUAAAGAUGAGCAGAAAAUACUGUACAAAACAGUAUCAAAGAUCCACCACCAUAUUUUACUGUAGGUUUGAGGUACUUUUCUGCAUAUGCUUCAGUUUUUCGAUGCCAAACCCACCACUGGUGUGUCUGGCCAAAGAGCUCUAUUUUCAUGUCAUCUGACCAUAACGCCGCCUGGAAUUUGAUAAACGGUAUUUGGAUUGGAACCGGUGCUAUGGUCAGACGACAUGAAAAUAGAGCUCUUUGGCCAGACACACCAGUGGUGGGUUUGGCAUCGAAAAACUGAAGCAUAUGCAGAAAAGUACUUACAGUAAAAUAUGGUGAUGGAUCUUUGAUGUUAUGGGACUAUUGUGCUUCCACUGGUCCUGUGGCCCUAGUUAAGGUCAACGCUAUCAUGAACUUCACCAAGUACCAGGACAUUUUAGCCAAAACCUGGUUGCCUAUACCGGGAGGAUGACACUUGGCGGCAAGUGGAUAUUCCAGCAAGACAAUAACCACAAGCACACAUCAAAAUCCACGAAGAAAUGCUUAAUUGACCACAAAAUAAACAUUUUGCAAUGGCCAUCUCAGUCUCCGAACUAUAAGUGCAGACGAAGGAUAUCAAGGAUCUGGAAAGAUUCUGUAUGGAGGAAUGGUCUAAGAUCCAUCCCAAUGUGUUCUCCAACUCAUAAAACAUUUUAGAAGUAGGCUCAGUGUCAUUAUCCUCGCAAGGGUAGGGUGUUGGAGUUCUGAAAACAGGGGUGCCAAUAAUUUUUACCCCUAUCUGAUCAUUUUAUUAUUAGCUGUUAAACAACCUCUCAUUCUCUGAGCAAUUGUGUUAGUAUGUAAUAAUACAAUUGUCUUUUUUUUGUUGCAUGCAAUAUGUGUAUAUAUUUGAGUAUUUUUUGCUCAUCGUUAUCAAUGGUGCCAAUAAUUAUGGACCAGACUGUACAUAGAGGGACAGUGUUGAAAAUGUAUUAACAGUUGCUUCAAUCAAUGUAUAUGUUAUCGUCAGUCUGAUUAUACAAAUUAGCUAUACUUUAAUUUCUCUCUAUAUGCUAAUUGUGCUAUGCUUUUAAAUUGUGUUGGUGUUUUUGUCAUCACCCUGCCAGUUUUAAUUCCGCUACAAGGGAAGACCACACUCUAAUUUAUAUGCUUCCAUGAUCUGCCGUUCAACCCCAGACUGAAUUGAGGGUGGUGCUUGCCAGGGAGAAGCCAUUAAGAUUGAUUGAAAUUCAAUCAAUUAAUGUAAUCUCCCAGCACACAGACACACAAACACAUAAACAAGUUAACAAAUACAUGACUCCGAAAACCAGAUCUAGUCUCCCAAGACAGACAGAGCUUCCAUAACGAACACAAAUCUGUCUUGCAGAUACAGGUAACUGCCAAAAUAAAGGAAACACUAACAUAAAGUGUCUUAAUUGGGUGUUGGGCCACCAUGAACCAGAACAGCUUCAAUGCACCUUGGCAUAGAAACUACAAGUGUCUGGAACUCUAUUGGAGGGAUGCAGCACCAUUCUUCUACGGUGAAAUUCCAUAAUUUUUUUGUUUUUUAAAUGGUGGUGGAAAACGCUGUCUCAAGCGCCGCUCCAGAAUCUCCCAUAAGUGUUCAAUUUGGUUGAGAUCUGGUGACUGAGACGACCAUGGCAUAUGGUUUACAUCGUUUUUCUUUUCAUGCUCAUCAAACCAUUCAGUGACCACUCGUGCCCUGUGGACGGGGGCGUUGGCAUCCUAUGAGGGCAUAGCCAUUGUAGCCAAAAUAAUGGCCUGCCCAGACCCUAUCCAUGAUGGGAUGUUAAUUGCCUAAUUAACUCAGGAACCACACCUGUGUAGAAGCACCUGCUUCAAUAUACUUUGUAUCCCUCAUUUACUCAAGUGUUUCCAUUAUUUUGGCAGUUACCUGUACAACCUAUGAAUCUUGCAAAUAUCAUAGAACUGUGGUAAGUCUUCAAAACGGUAUGUGAAUUUGUAUCAUCCUCCUGUUCUACUGUUUUGGACACCAGCCUGCAUUCUAGGGUGGUGUACCAUGUAGUGCCAACAACAUUGGUCUGGUAGAGAACAAUCUGUCCACAUGAAGUCAAUAGUCAGGGGUCCAGCAGAAUGGAAAGGGUGUCAGGUCAUUGCAGCAGGGAUACCAAUUCACUUCUGAGUCCCUUGCAAAUGUACUGUACUAGGAGAAGUCAUAGGGACUUCCCAUGACAUUCUGACCUGUUCCCUGUCAAGUAUUGAUUAUGAGGUAGGGCUGGGAUUGAAUCAGGAGAUGGGAUAGUAGGGUAGAGCUAUGACAAAGGUGAGGAUUCGAGGUAAGAACAUUUAAGUUGAUUUUACAGUGAAUAUUAGGGUUGUCGUGUGGAUUGCAUGAUAGACAAAUAGCCCUUUCCCUAAUGGGCCAGAAAUGCAUUAAAACUGUUAUACCCUUCUCUGCACAGUACACACACAUUUGAAAUCUGCAUCCGCCUUAUUUACAAUAAGCUAUGGGUUAUUUAUAUGAAUGAACAUGAAAACAUUUGAUUUUUCAAACAUCCUGCACUUUUUUUCUCUUUUCAGCUUGGAAGAAGAUCACUAGAGUGUGGUAGUCGUUAGGGUUACAUAUUCACACAGGCUUUAUGGGACCUGGUCCGGCAGACUUUUUACCAUAAUCUCAUUAAUAAACCGUCAUAAAUCUUAAAAAAGGAGAGCAGGCGGACGAGGAGGAGGAGAAGGAGGAGGGGGAGAAGGAAGGGGUGGGGGGCCACACCAUGCUGCCCAUCCGUUGGAUGCCCCCUGAGAGCAUCAUGUACAGGAAGUUCACUACAGAGAGCGACGUGUGGAGCUUUGGUGUGAUCCUCUGGGAGAUCUUCACCUACGGGAAGCAGCCAUGGUUUCAACUGGCCAACAAUGAG